UAUGAACUCUAUUCAAAUAUGAUCACUCGCUGAACUUAAGCAUAUCAGUAAGCGAAGGAAAAGAAACCAACAGGGAUUACCUUAGUAACGGCGAGUGAAAAAGGGC
rnacentral:rRNA from 1 species